GAUGUAGCUUGGUGGUAGAGCACUUGCCUAGCACACAUAAAGUCCUGGGUUCAAUUCCCAGCACA
rnacentral:tRNA from 1 species